rnacentral:rRNA from 1 species
GCGGUGAAAUGCGUAGAUAUUGGGAGGAACACCAGUGGCGAAGGCGGCUCACUGGACUGGUACUGACGCUGAUGCGCGAAAGCGUGGGGAGCAAACGGGAUUAGAUACCCCGGUAGUCCACGCCGUAAACGAUGAGUGCUUGGUGUAGCGGGUAUCGACCCCUGCUGUGCCGAAGUCAACACAUUAAGCACUCCGCCUGGGGAGUACGGUCGCAAGGCUGAAACUUAAAUGAAUUGACGG